AGGUUCGUUUGNUCAACGAUUAAAACCCUACGUGAUCUGAGUUCAGACCGGAGUAAUCCAGGUCAGUUUCUAUCUAUAAAAGAGUUUUUUCUAGUACGAAAGGACCGAAAAAACAUGGCCCAUACUUAAUGCAAGCCAUAAUUAUUAACUUAUGACCAAAUCUUAAUAAGUACCCAAUCCACCACUAAACUCAAAAAAAGAGUA
rnacentral:rRNA from 1 species